AAAAAGGCUCUUUUAAGAGCCACCUAAGAUGUCAUGUAAAGUUGCUG
rfam:Mus musculus chromosome 13, GRC primary reference assembly.